GGGCGUGUGGUGGAACGGCAGACACACCAGACUUAGAAUCUGGCUCUUUUGAGUGAGGGUUCAAAUCCCUCCACGCCCACCA
rnacentral:tRNA from 1 species